CUGAAUAUAAACAAAAAUCUCUGACUUUCCAUCCUGAUGAAUGUGAUGAUAUGGAGGAAGCUCCUAGUAACUACAAAGAGAAAGGCAAGAAAGUGAUGGUUGAUCAGAACUUAGUUGUAAAGUCUGCUCCUCUUCGAUCAUUAGGAUAUGUGGACCCAGGCUGGGAACAUUGUGUUGCACAAGAUGAAAAGAAGAAAAGGGUAAAAUGCAAUUUCUGUGAAAAAAUAAUUAGUG
rnacentral:misc_RNA from 1 species